UUGGGAAUCUUGCACAAUGGGGGAAACCCUGAUGCAGCGACGCCGCGUGGAGGACGAAGGAUCUAGGUCUGUAAACUCCUUUUAUCGGGAAAGACUUAGGACGGUACCCGAUGAAUAAGCACCGGCUAACUACGUGCCAGCAGCCGCGGUAAGACGUAGGGUGCAAGCGUUGUCCGGAUUUACUGGGCGUAAAGAGCGCGUAGGCGGUCUGUUAAGUGUGAAGUGAAAUCUCCAGGGCUCAACCCGGAAACUGCUUCGCAUACUGGCAGGCUGGAGGAACGGAGAGGUGAGUGGAAUUCCUGGUGUACCGGUGAAAUGGGUUGAUAUCAGGAGGAACACCGAUGGCGAAGGCAGCUCACUGGCCGUUAUCUGACGCUGAGGCGCGAAAGCGUGGGUAGCAAACAGG
rnacentral:rRNA from 1 species